rnacentral:rRNA from 1 species
UACGUAGGGUGCGAGCGUUUAAUCGGAAUUACUGGGCGUAAAGCGUGCGCAGGCGGUUCGUUGUGUCGGUGGUGAAAGCCCCGGGCUUAACCCGGGAAUGGCGUCCGAAACUAUGGAGCUGGAGUGUGGCAGAGGGAGGUGGAAUUCCACGUGUAGCGGUGAAAUGCGUAGAGAUGUGGAGGAACACCGAUGGCGAAGGCAGCCUCCUGGGCCAACACUGACGCUCAUGCACGAAAGCGUGGGGAGCAAACAGG